rnacentral:rRNA from 1 species
UACAGAGGUCUCAAGCGUUGUUCGGAUUCAUUGGGCGUAAAGGGUGCGUAGGCGGCGCGGUAAGUCGGGUGUGAAAUCUUGGAGCUUAACUCCGAAACUGCAUUCGAUACUGCCGUGCUUGAGGACUGGAGAGGAGACUGGAAUUUACGGUGUAGCGGUGAAAUGCGUAGAUAUCGUAAGGAAGACCAGUGGCGAAGGCGGGUCUCUGGACAGUUCCUGACGCUGAAGCACGGAAGGCCCAGGGGAGCAAAACGGG